rnacentral:rRNA from 1 species
UACGUAGGGUGCGAGCGUUAAUCGGAAUUACUGGGCGUAAAGCGUGCGCAGGCGGUGAGUUGUGUCCGAUGUGAAAGCCCCGGGCUUAACCUGGGAACGGCAUUGGAAACUGGCUCGCUGGAGUGCGGCAGAGGGGGGUGGAAUUCCGCGUGUAGCAGUGAAAUGCGUAGAGAUGCGGAGGAACACCGAUGGCGAAGGCAGCCCCCUGGGCCGACACUGACGCUCAGGCACGAAAGCGUGGGGAGCAAAC